CCUGAUAGAUGGCAGCCUUGGCAUUGUGUGCGAACACACCCAAGAGAGGGUCCUAGGUGCCGGAACAGGGGCAAGGAGGAAGAGGAGGAGGGAAAGAGAUGGAGAGAGAGAGAGAGGAAAAAAAGAGAGAUGAAGAGAAAGAGGAGGCAGAGAGGAAGAGAGAGACAGAGCAGGAGGUCGUGGCACUCUGGGUCCCAGUUCCCAGUGCAGCUGUAGGUUGUCAUCACCUAACCACAUGUGCAAUAAAGUCCUUGUGCCUCCUGCUUACAGCCCCCGAGAGCCCCUCCUCCUGGAAAAUAAAACUUUUGGCGGCUGCCCUUCCUCACUGCAUUUUGGUUGUGUCUAAUGAACCGAGAUGUCCCGCCUAUCACCUUCCUCAGCUCAAGGCUCCACUGAACGCUGCCCCCUUGGUUUGGGAGGCUCUGUGGUGCCGCCAUCUCACCAGGCUCCUGAGGAAGCUUGUGACCUUGGGUUGAGCACUAAGCAGCCAGGUACCUACUGAGGCUCUGCUUUUCUCUUUCACUAAGAGAGAGAACGAGACCAAAGAAUGGUCUGCAGGGAGGGCGUCUGUGCAAAUCCCCAGGGAACCAGGGGCUUGAGCCCUCUUCAUUUUCUUACAGACACACAUUCACUUCCAUGCCUCCUUAGUGAGGGCAUGAUGCACAGUGUGUGUGUAUGUGCAGGUGUGUGCAUGCAUAUGUGUGUGUGCAUAUGUGUGUGUACAUGUGUGUGUGUUGUGGGGGUGUGCAGUGGACAGGAAGGAGAGGGCAGCUCCAGCUCAAAGCUGCAAGUCUCUCUGAAAGAAAGAUUCCCUGGACCACAGCAAGUGAGACUUUUCAUUUGCAUCCAUUUUUUUAUUAGCAUUUAAAGCUAUAUUUUGAGUAGCAUGCAAACCUUAAGUUACUUAACUAUUCUUAGAAGCAUUUACACAGUAAGAUAAUACAUGAUAAUGUACAUUGAAAUAUUCACCCUGCACCCCCAACAUUAUUUUGCAUACCUACAUCCCCCAAAGAAUCCCAUGGCAGGUGGGGUGGGCAGGGAAGUGUGGUCCACCUGGGACCCCUCAGUGGGGGCACUUGGUCAGUCCCCAAGGCUCUGUGUGGCCCUCCAGAGACUCUGCUUCCCACCGGCUCAGUCAGCACUACAGAGGGGGAAUGGGGGAGGUGGAGUAGGGGCAGGCAGGACAGUAGGGGGAGGACAGUCAGGCACCCCAUGUCCUGGUUUUUGCAGUGGCUGGGAGGCAGAUGACGGCUGAAGGCCGACUGCCCUGAGAACUGGUUGAGGCUUAAGGCGGGGGUGGUAGGGCCAUCCCCACUGCCUGCAGGGCCUUUGGUCACCCUUGUCCACCAAGGCUUCUCCCCAGCAGCACUGGGCACCCCAGUGAGAGAGUGGCCAAGGCAGAGGUGUGGAUGGAUCAGGGAGGGAGGUCUCAUUCGGCUCUGACAGGAAAAGGGUCAAAGAAGGGCCAGGGUGGCCAGAGGGAGGGUCACAGUCUCUGGGUCGGGCAGGAGGAGGGAAGAAGGGAACAGGCAGGGUCAGCGGCCAGGGCGCAGGCAGAGGCAGGUGCACGCUGGGAGGUCAGACCCUGCAAGGCCCAUGGGGAGUGUCAGCUGGGAUGGGCUCCAGGUGCGUCCUCAGGGCACUGGGCAGCUCUCAGGCCAGGCUCCCCAGACUCUGGUGGGUGAUGUGGUCACUCUCGAGGCACUGCUGUCAGUCAGGGCUCAGCCACCUCCCCGGGCAGCACCCAUCCCAUCUCAGGACUGGACUUUCUCAGCUCCCACAGAGGGUGCCGCCUCUUGCCCAGGAGGGGCAGCCCCAUUGUGCAGCCUGAGGCACCCCGCAGGUCCCAAGUGGCUCCCUCCAAGCCAGCCUAGAGCUCCCUCUUCUCCAGGGUCCUGGUGCCUCGCAGGUGUCAGCUCCACAAGGAGGCCCUUGCUUUCCUUGUCUGUGCCUUGUCCCGGGCUGAGACUUAGGGUGGAUAGGGUUGGGCUGGUCCUUCCCUGGGGCCCUCUCAGGGAGGGGGAUGGCUCUUGCCCUGGACAGGUCCUCAUCUCUGCCUGGGUUGCCCUACAGUGAGAUGGAGCUGCCCCUGUCAGUGCCCUGGAGGUGAAGGUAAGAGCCUGUGCCUGCUGUGUGGGAGGCCACUCCAAGGAUAGGGAAUCAGGGGUGGUCGGUGAGGCAGAGGUGGCGGCUGGUGGACCCGGGCAGUGGUGAGUGGGCCAUGGCUGUCACUGGGAGGGGGGCCUUUCUGGCUGGACUCUGUUCCCAUGAGGCUUUGACCAAAACCCAAACCAAGAACUGCAGUCCUGGCUCAGAGUCCACUGCCUGUUUGUACCAAGUCCCCAGUUGAAGGCUGGGACCCAACUAACACUCAGGGCAUCUGUGCCCUGAGGAUGGCGUGUCCUGGUAUCACCAGUCCAGAUCCCCAGCUCCAGUUAGUUCAGAGGGUCUCAGCCCCUGGGGUCUUCCCUUUCCUGGCUCCUUCAGGUUGGGUCCCUUCAGGGCCCCAAAGCCCUGGACCCAGCAUCCAUGGGCCACUGCCAGGGGCCUGGCAGCUCCGCUAACUCCAUCAUGGCUCCUUUGACAGCAAAGAUGGCAGGAAAUAAAACGCACUGACAAGUGGCUGAAGAUGCUUGGAGACUGGACAAAAUAUGGGAGCAGCAAGAAGGUAACAUGGGGAGGGAGUGGCCCCCGUGACUGCUCUCUGUAGAGCCGGGAGACAGGCACCCAUGGCUGUGACCUGGCACCGUCUGCCUCUGCAUCAGUGGGUGGGUGGCAUCCCAUCCUCACCAUAGGACAGCAGGCCUGUUCGCCAGCUUUCCUCUCUGAGUCGCCCCGUGUCCUGUCUCACUGGAGUGUUCUUUUGUCUUUAGCUGUGUACAAAGGCAUUGUGUACAAAGGCAUUCCCCUGGUGGUGCGGGGCUGGGCGUGGUCACUCCUGCUAGACAUUGACAAAGCGAAGGCUGAGAACCCAGGGGAAGACAAGGUACAGCCCUCCCAUACUCAGCCAGGGCAGGACAAACAGGCCUGGCCAUGUCAGGAGCCCAGGACUCCAGCUGGAGGGAACGUCGAGCCCAGGUUGGGGGUGGGGGCGGUGGUCACACUCACAUGCUGGGCACAUCUGGUAACUCAGGCACUGCAGGUGCACGGGGCUCUGCUGACCCUCCCGGGCUUCAGAAACAAGGCAAAAAGGAGCUUUCUGCAGAAGGAAACCUUCCCUUCCUUCCAGAAGUGCUGACUGUGGGAUGACUGCCGUCAGGGGCAGGGAGUUUUUUGUCUGUUCUGAGGCUGCUUCCUCCUCUCAGCCCUGCCCUACGGGUCAUGAAGGAGAAGGGAAAGAGGUCAUCCAGGAUCACCCACCGCAUCAAGGUAGAUGUCAGCCACACCCCGCAGAACCACGUGAUGUUUAGCGAAUGAUUCGGAGUCAGGUAAGGCCUAUGGGGGCUGCAGGGGUACCAGGGAAGAUGGGGGCGAUCCAGAGGGAUGAGGGCUUCCCCAGGGCAGAGGCCAAUGGUCACCCAGGAAAAGUGACAGAGCUGCCAAGGGCUCUCCUGGCCCAGGCAGCAGCCAGCAUUAUGGACUGAGCACCUCCCGUGCUCUAAGCCCUGGGCCGGGCUGGGACAUGUGGGGACAGAACCCAGGUGGCUCCCAAGGAGAUGGGAGCCAGCAAAAAAAAAAAAAAAAAUCAUGCAGAUGGUGAAAAGUGUUCUCCAUGCCCCACAAUGAGCCAGGGUAGAGACCCACGGGAAGGCGGCAGGAUGGCGGGGCUCGGGAGCCUUCCCGGGCAACACUGACAGCCCAAAAUACCAGGGAGGAUGCGGGGCCCUGGAAACGCUCAUCCAUGAUGGGUGGGCACACGACAGGGCACUUUGGAAGUCAGAUGGGCCGUGGCUCACAAAGCUCAGUGGCCUUGUACCACACAUCCCCAAAGUGUCACAGAUAUUGACCACAAUGGUUUGAAAACUGACGUGCAAAUAAAACCCACAUGCCACAUUCACUGCUUGAUUGAUUGUCACUCACACCCGGAGGCCACUGAGAUGAUCUUCAACAUGGGAACUGGGGAGAAAGGGGGUUCCACUCUUCAGACAAAGAUGACUCAGUGAGGAAAACGAAUGAACCCCUGAUGCCCGCAGGAACAUGGGUGGUCUUAGAUGCGUGUUGCUGAGGGAAAGAAGCCAGACCCAACAGGCUACCACCACAGGAUUCCAAUUCAUCGGCCAUUCUGGGAAAGGGCAAAGCAUAGAGACAGAGAAUAAUUGGUCAGGAUGGUCAGGCGCUGACGGAGCCAGGAGAGGUCAGCUGCAAAGGGGACACGCUGGGGACUUGGAGGAUGAAGGAGCCGCUCUGGGAGGGGAGGCAGUGGUGGACGGAAGGGUCUGCACAUUGGUUCAGAACUGUGGAACUGCACGUCCCAAAGACUGGACUUCCGUGUGUGCAAACCAAGAAAAGGGGGAAGGAAAAAUCAACCAGAGUGAAAAUAAUCACUGAUCCAAAUGUACACCUGUGAUAUUUGCAUUGCAAAGAAUGUGGAUUUUACUGAAAAAACUUCUAAAAACUCAGGUGUCCUGAAGAGCUCACUGCUUAUCUGGGGGAAUCAUCUGAAUCCAGAAUUGUGUUCGUUGUCAGGGUUUGUAGACAAAAUGAAACUGACAGCAUCCACACAAAACAAAACCCUCUUUUCCCUCUUUUCUAGGCAGCAGGAAUUAUGUGACAUCCUCGUGGCCUAUUCUGCAUAUAACCCUGUGAAUAUUCCUGGGCAGCGAUAUUCCUGGGCCCUGUGCCCAUAUUCACAGGCAUGGGUGUCUCUUGGGGGUGUCGGCACUUCUUGAAAAUUCAGUGUUCGUGACCCACCAGCUCGUAGUAGGCAGGACUCAAGCUCACUGCUGGUGUGGACACCCAAGCAAGGGGGCAGCACAAGGGGUCAAACUGAGACGGAAAAGGGUUAAAGCCCAGACUCUUGGUGUCAUCUUGACCCGAUCCCCACGUCUCAGAUGAAGAAAUGACCUUCCCCUCCUGGUGUUGCCCCGAAGCCCAGGAGCUUGGCAGGGUCGCAUGCAGAUGGUCCUCACAGGAGACAGAUUUGACAAGUUGCUGAGGUGCCUGAUGGGCCAGGCUCUUGUCAUGAAAUGAGUUUGCACCCUGAGGAAGCCUCUUCUUCACCAGAAACCAGGCAGAGAUCCAAUUUUCCCUUUCCCUGAACCCCACAGGAGUGCAGCAGACAAGGAGGGUGUCAUCCAGCUGGCUGCUCUUGCUCCACCCCCACUUUCCAGACCAUUCUAGGCAGGGAGAGUGGCUGAGCCAACUCCAUGGGCUGCCCACAUGGAGUCUGGACCCAGCUGCCCUCCUGUGCCUGGCAGGCAGCCCUUGGGCUGUUGCAGGACCUUUUGUGUGGUGGUCAGUGCCCCGCUGCCUGCCCUCGUGGCAGGUGAGUUCAUAGGUGCUGCUCCGGGCCUGGCACAGUGGCCUCCCCAGCCUGGCCCAGGGGAGGGGGCAUGAACAAUCCUUACCUGUGCUCUUUCAGGCCAUGUGAGCUUGGACACUCGCUGCAGGAGUGCCCCCAGGCUCCUUGUCAACUGAGUCAUGCAUGACCUGUUGAGUCCUCAUGCCCAGUGCCAGGGGAGGAAUGCAGAGGCUGCACCCCAAAUCCCGGGGGCCUGUGGCAGGUGUCCCUGAGGACCUCUGCCAUUUCUGGUGACAUGAGUCCUCCCAGGUGAUCUCAGCCCACCCUUCCACGGUGACUCUGGCUCUUACAGGAGGUGGGCUACCACAGGCACCUGAGCCACGUCACCGCCACCCUCCUCCUGUAUCUGCUGGAGGAAGAUGCUUUCUUGGUGCUGGCCCAGCUGCUUGCUGGUGAGAGGCACUCCCUGCAGGGUAGGUGGACAGCUACCUUCGGGGCCUUACACAGCCAUGCCAGGGGACGGCCACCCCGGCUAAUGAUCCCGAUUUCCAGGCAAGGCAUCUUACUUGCAUCCCAGCUUGUUUGGAGUCUCUGGGAUGUCCCUGCUGAGGGUCCCAUAGCAGCCUGGUUCAGGACAGGGACCCUCUUACCUCAAGUCAGAUGCCUUUCACCCCCAACAGCAGAGGGCAUUGAUACUUCCCUCUGGCUGCCCUUUGUUCCCCAAAGCCAGACCCAAUUUUGUGCAGGCACUGCUCACCUCCCUGAGUGUCCUCCUGCCUCCCAGCUGGCUGCACUCCCAGACACCUUCCCUGCCCACAAAUGGGCUGAUGAAGCCCAGAUGGCAAUGUCCCCCAUGCAUCCCAUGUCCCCCAGCCUGACAUCACAUCCAGUAGAUGGCCACACAGCCCCCAGCACCCACCCCAUUUUCACCGAUGGCACCUGCCUGCCUCUGCCCUGCCUCAUAGCAUCAAAGGCAGGCCUGCUCUCCUGGCACCUCGGCCCAGGAUGCCACUGGGCACCACCUCCAGCUAGGGCCCUCCUUCCCAGGGCUGAGACUGUGUGAUGGGGUCACCAGAUAGGAGGGAGGGAGGCCUCAGGGCCCAGGGUCCUCUGCCACUACCCAGCUCUUGGGAGUGGACUCUGAUGGGGUGGUGGGUUGGGGGCUUCUCAGUAUUCUACAGUCCGAAUACUGCCUGGCUCUGGAGGCUCCUAUCAUGCCAGGAGCAGGUGUUGCCCAAGUCCUUCCCAAAGAUCAUGAGACACCUGGUGAGUGGACGACACCCUCUGCUCCUCCUCAGAGGCCCUGGGUCCCAAGAGCCAGGGGCGCCUCAAGUACCUCAUGGAGCUGACAAGAGGCCAAGUCCCAGCCACAGCCUGACCUGGGAUGGGGAUUCUCCGUGGGUUCGGAGUUGGGUUUCCUUUCCCUGCCCUGGGGGAGGCAGAGGCGCUGGGACCAGGGCCAAGCUCUGGCUGAGCAGGGCUGAGGGAAGUGUGUCCAUUGGGCUUCUGGGUAUGGGGCAGGGGUUGGGGGACCCCUGGCCACUGCCCUGGGUUCUGCUUCUCGGAGAAGAGUCUGCAGAGGGGACUGAAAGUGGGAGGACUUCAGGGUAACCCAGGGGGCCCUGAGCACCUCUGCUCCUCCCUUCAGGGCAAGGAAGGGCUGUGCACUGAGGGUUCCAUGUUGAUGAGGCUCCUCCGGUGUUUCAUUGGUGGGGUAAGGAGGCACAGGGAGACCCCAGCCCAGGGAUGCAGUGCCCAGCUCCCUCAGCCCAGGGGUCCAGCUCCUCCAGGAGCUGGUUCACCCCCAGCUCGCAGAAGGCACAGGCAGGUCCCUGCAGGGCUCACAAGCCAGGCCCUGCCCAAGAGGGGCAUCCCAUGGCAGAGGCCAGGGCUCAGGCCCAGCCUCGCAGGAAGACUGGGGCAGGACCCGACUUGGGAGGACCCCGGGAAGCCCCAAAUCCUCAGGAAGUCCCUCCUUCCAGAAGCCACAGCGCUGCUGAGAUGAGCCCCCCAUGAGGAGCUACAGGACCUUGUCUGACUCAGUUUUAUGGGGGAUCUCAUCCCAUGGAGAGGGGGUCCCCAGCACUCCAGGGGACUGAAAUCCCAGUGGGCCCUGCUCAGGCCACCAGCUCCAGCUUGGAAAGGCCAGGUCCUCCCAUACCUGCUGUCCCCACAGAAAUCCUUUGGGCUCACCCUGAGACUGUGGGAUGUGUUUAUCUUGGAGGGCAAGCGGGUACUGACGGCCAUGGCGCAUGCAUCAUUCAAAAUACACAGGAGUAAGUCCCGUGUGCCUGAGGGUGCUUAGGGGAACACGCAGGACAGAUUCCAGCUGGCCUGAGGGAAGCGUCCCCAUGACUCUCUGCUCUGCCCUGAUAGGGAGGUCUGGCCUGGUGGGCUGGGCAAGGCAUGAUGACACUGAGUCCACCCCCACAUGACCCAGAUGAAAGUCAGGAGUGUGGUGAGCACUUCCCUGCCCAGCCUUGCCCAGCUGUGGCCUCCUGCGCACAGCCGGACCCUGGGGUGGCCAAGAAGGACCAGGCACCACCCAGUGGGAGGUGGGCCUGGUGGAAAUGGGGUGCAGGCACAGAUCCCCCACAGGGAAUCCUCCUGACCUGAUGCCUGCCCUGUCCCUAGAGUACCUCAUGAAGCUUUCCUGGAGCACCAUCUGGGAGCUUCGGGAGCAACUGUCUCAGAGCUGGGCCCUGGAGGACAACGAGGUCCUCAGGAACCUUCAAACUUCCAUGAAGGAACUCAAAAGGAAACACUGGGACCUGCCACUCCCAGCUCCACACAGACCCGCAUGUCGGGGGUCCGUGUUUCCUGUGCUGCCAUUUUGAACACGGCUCCUGGGACUCUGUCACUUCUCCGUCUUCUGUGGACAGCCCUGGAACAAAAAGACAGACCCCACCCAGCGAGCCCACUGGGACCCCGACACCAGGCCCUGCCCUGGCUUAUAACAGAGAAGAGGCCGGUCAAGAGACACCCGAGCAGCAAGGUGGCACCUGCCUGUGACUCCCCUCGGUAGAAGAAGAACUUGGAAUGGAAGGAGCUCAGGCAGUACCUGCCCAGCUGCCUUACAGCCCCAGAUGGCUGCUGGACCUUGGUUUUUACUGCUAUUUUAUUUGUAUUUUAUAUUUUUGGCUUGUGGGCCUUGAGAAAUCCCAUUCAAUGGGGGACUUGGUCCCAUCAAGGCCUCAGGAGGGAAGGCUGAGCAUGGGGUUCCUGCAGCCCCAGCCAGCCAGCAGCGUGCCCUGGGGCCCCUGACCCCACCUGUGGGUCAGAGUCCCUCCUCCAGGGCCCAAGUCCCAGGUCUAGAGGGACCUGGCUUCAACCCGAGUCCUAGGAGGAGAGGGGCACCGCAGGCCUCCAGGUGACCACGCAAGGGACCAGGGCAUUGCAAGCCCUGAUGCUGUAAGGAUUAACAUCAGAGAACCUGGGUAAGCCAUGCCAGAGACACUGAGCCCGUGCAGUGAUGAGGAUGUGGGGGCUGGCUCAAGGGAGUCAACAGCUGUGAACACUGCUGCCUCUUCCCGGCCUCAUUGCUGCAGUGCAGGCAGUCUGCAUCCCGGAGACUGGCCCACCAGCACCCCGAGUACCCUAGUCCGCUAUGCCAACAUGGCACCCAGAGACUUCGCACCCCUGCCUGCCGCAUCACCCCCCUCCUGGAAGCCUUGUCCUGCAACCUAGCCCCUGUCGCAGCCACAGCAGGCACCACUGCCAAGCGCCUUCCAGCCGGGCUUCCCAGAGGGCAGAGGCGCCCUGCAGUCAUUGCCUCAGCAGCUCACACUGUGAAGAUAGUUUCAUCUACAUUCCCAUGUUCCCACCAAAGAGAAUCGCUGCAGAAGAUGCUCUUGAUCCUGAGGUGGGGAAAACGGCACGCCAGGUGGGUGGAGUCAGCUCCUUUCCCCAGCCACCACGAUUGCUGGAUGGACCCACGGACAGUGGCCAUCAGACAGGAAUGAGACCCAAGAGGCUCAGCAUCCUGCUCGUGCCCUGACCAGGCUGACCAGGCCAACACCACUGCCGAGUGCCCCAUCUGCUGAGAGACUUGGUGUCGAUCCCUGGGCUGGCACUGUUUCCCAGGAGGACCGGUUGGCCACCUAUGGGCAGGCUGCCCACACUGUGGAGAGGGCUGAGAUCGGCCUUCACUGCAGGGAGCCCCUACGUGGACACAGACUCACUGGCCCUGCCUGUUGCCAUCACAGCAGCCCACAGGGCAUUGCUUGUGACCAGGGUACCCUAUUCACACUGAGGGACAUGCAGCCGUGGCCCCUGAUCAGGGAACUAACUGUUCUCACUACGUCAGCCGCCACCUGGAAGCAACUGGGCUUAGGAUCGCUCAGUUACGCUGAAGUGGUGGUUUGUCUUACAAGAUAAAUGUUAUGCUUUCCACUGGAAACCAGCAUAUGGUGCUGACUCUCCGACAGCCAGAGGUGUAGUUCUGAAAGUGAGAGUGUAGAAGUGGAUGAUGUUCAGUAUUGCACGGAAUGUCUCAGUCACAGAGUUUUCCUAUGCCUGUCCUGGAGAAAUGGAGUUUCGCUGGUUGGAAGGUCUGAGGACCCAGGCAGAUUGAAGCUUCCCCCAGGGGAACACAACAAUGGUUCUAUUUAAUAUGAAGAGACAGGGCUAAGUUUGAAACCCUGGGACAUUCUCUGGUGUUCUUGGUGUCUUCAUAUAAAGAAAAUCAAAUAAAGGUUUGCCACAGAGGCAUCUGAAAAAGGAGGGGGCAGAACUAUUCAGAACUCAGAGGCUUCAGAAUCGAAGAUGAGGCCAAGUAGGAGACUCCUGACCCACUGAGGAAGUAUGUAGGGCUGCUGGGAGAGGACGUCAUAGAGGUCCACCCCUACCUCACGAUAAUGUCACAGAACCGUGCACUUGAAUAGCUGUGCACAUCAUCUUUCCACUGAUUAUAGUAUUUCUUUCUAUUUAUGACUCUCCAAUCAAGCAGGGAACUUCCUACAAAAUGCACGUUGCUAUACCACAGCCUGGGUCUUGCAAUCCAAGGCUGGCAAGGAUUCCUGCACAUCAAGGGCCUCAGAUGACUUUCAUGCACACCCAAAGACAGAGUCCUAGAUGACACCUUCCUGCUCAAAAAGGAAGGAACGAGGGUCAUUGAACAGCGAGCCAGUCACGGAAAGGGGUGAAAUAUGAGUGCGUGGCCUUCCUGACACCCAGACAAGACUUUGGGCACAAAGGCAGGCUGCAGCUCUGGCCACUGACUCCAACCAAGGACGACCCCAUGCAGGCCGGUGUGCCCUGGCUGCUCUUCUCCCUCCUGCCACCCUCUCCUCGGCUGUCUGUGUUAGGAAGGGAGAACCUGCCAGUUUUCAGAAGAAAAUGUAGCUUUAUUAUGACAUGGGAAAGACUCAAGUUAUUAGGGGAGGAGGAGGAGUCCUGAAACAGCUCCUGAAAAUGAGAGGGAAAAGAAAGGUGUAAAUAUGUUGGUAAUAAAGUCUCCAACCACAGCACA